GUCGCGUUGCCGCUGCUGGCCCCCACCGUCGUGUCACCGCUGGUACUCCCUCACCGCCGCGUCUCCGCUGCUGCUCCCCCACCGCCGCGAAUUUUGGAAAGUCAAAUUUCAAUUUGCGUUUCUCCAAAUCCUAGAAAAUGUGGGGUGGCUUUUUCCGGGUUGCUGUUGGAGAACUUGAACAAAUCAUGUGUUCAAUCUGAUGCAAUGGACCCCUAAAGACUUUGAAUCUAAAUUACAGGAUCAUGAUCGUGGAAAAGAAAAUGUCAGACUGAAAAAAGGAGUUGCAAUCCAUAAGCCAAAAAGUAGAGGUGAUGCUAAUGCAAAGAAAAAAUUGAACAAGGAUAAUCAGGAAGCAUAUAGGAAGAAAUUAAUGGACGAAAAAAGGGCUCUAAAAGGAGGUCAAUUUUUUGUUGUACAAAUCAAUUUUGCGGAUCAUGUUCAGAUGAGAGCUUACUGAGUUUUUUCAUAACCCAUCAAGAAAAGUCAUGUAAAGCAGAUUUGAGGGCUGAAGCUGCUAAACAGAAGCAGUUGGAGAAAGAGAGGAAGAAAUUGGAGAACUAUAAGUUCAAUGAGAAUGACAUCGUGGCUGAAAUUGAUCUAAACGUUCUGUCAGGUUCACUUAGAGGUCCUCUGCUAACAAUGUUUAACGAGAAAGGUCUCAAUUAUAAAAUAAAUCCAAAUCCCGUUGAAGAAUCAAUUGUUUGGAAAUUUACUCUUCCAGAAAAUAUUUAUCAGAAGUCUGCAGUGAAACCAGAUAUUCGAUAUAUAUUGCUCAUUUAUGAUGCUGCUGCAACAGACUUGCAAGUUCAGACACAAAUAAUUCUCACACACCGAAAUAGGAGAAGCAAGGAGAAGUUUAAUUGAUGAAAACUCAACAGAGUGGAAUACAAAAUCAGUAGCUUUAGGCUACCACUCUCAAGUUGUUGUUGGUCCCCUAUUGUGCUUCCUGCUGUACACGAGUGGACGGUUAGGAUGGUUCAUUACAGAUGCUGAGGAAUUUCGUAACCGUGCUAAUGAUGGAUCUCUUAUGGUUCAUAUUUCUUCUGUGCGUUAUCAUUCUUACACAAUCUGCUGCCUCACUAACAGGUUGAUUUAUUUUUAUCAAUUAAAGAUUUUGUUAAGGUAUUCAACAAUCCGUGGGACCAGCUUUUCACACCGUGGGGAUAAAUGAAGUUCGAGACAAGUUGAGAAACUUCAUUACUAGUGAUUAUCUUUGAUAUUUUUUUGUAAU